rnacentral:rRNA from 1 species
GACGAACGCUGGCGGCAGGCCUAACACAUGCAAGUCGAGCGCUCUCCCUCGGGAGGGAGCGGCGGACGGGUGAGUAACGCGUGGGAACGUGCCCUUUGCUGCGGAAUAUUCCUGGGAAACCGGGAGCAAUACCGCAUGAGCCCUUCGGGGGAAAGAUUUAUCGGCAAAGGAUCGGCCCGCGUUGGAUUAGGUAGUUGGUGGGGUAAUGGCCCACCAAGCCGACGAUCCAUAGCUGGUUUGAGAGGAUGAUCAGCCACACUGGGACUGAGACACGGCCCAGACUCCUACGGGAGGCAGCAGUGGGGAAUCUUAGGCAAUGGGGGCAACCCUGAUCUAGCCAUGCCGCGUGAGUGAUGAAGGCCUUAGGGUUGUAAAGCUCUUUCAGCUGGGAAGAUAAUGACGGUACCAGCAGAAGAAGCCCCGGCUAACUCCGUGCCAGCAGCCGCGGUAAUACGGAGGGGGCUAGCGUUGUUCGGAAUUACUGGGCGUAAAGGGUGCGUAGGCGGACUGAAAAGUUGGGGGUGAAAUCCCGGGGCUCAACCCCGGAACUGCCCUCAAAACUGUCAGUCUGGAGUUCGGGAGAGGUGAGUGGAAUUCCUAGUGUAGAGGUGAAAUUCGUAGAUAUUAGGAGGAACACCAGUGGCGAAGGCGGCUCACUGGCCCGAUACUGACGCUGAGGCACGAAAGCGUGGGGAGCAAAUGGAAUUAGAUACUCCAGUAGUCCACGCCCUAAACGAUGAAUGCCAGCCGUCCGCAAGCAUGCUUGUGGGUGGCUCACCUAACGGAGUAAGCAUUCCGCCUGGGGAGUACGGCCGCAAGGCUAAAACUCAAAGGAAUUGACGGGGACCCGCACAAGCGGUGGAGCAUGUGGUUUAAUUCGAAGCAACGCGCAGAACCUUACCAACCCUUGACAUCCGGCGCCAAGCCCAGAGAUGGGCCCUUCCCCGUAAGGGGACGCCGAGACAGGUGCUGCAUGGCUGUCGUCAGCUCGUGUCGUGAGAUGUUCGGUUAAGUCCGGCAACGAGCGCAACCCACGUUUUCAGUUGCCAUCAUUCAGUUGGGCACUCUGGAAAGACUGCCGGUGUUAAGCCGGAGGAAGGUGUGGAUGGCGUCAAGUCCUCAUGGCCCUUACGGGUUGGGCUACACACGUGCUACAAUGGCGGCGACAGAGGGGUAAUCCCAAAAAGCCGUCUCAGUUCGGAUCGUCCUCUGCAACUCGAGGGCGUGAAGUCGGAAUCGCUAGUAAUCGCGCAACAGCAUGGCGCGGUGAAUACGUUCCCGGGUCUUGUACACACCGCCCGUCACACCAUGGGAGUUGGUCUUACCCGACGGCCGUGAGCUAACCUUUCAAAGGGGGCAGCGGACCACGGUAAGGUCAGCGACUGGGGUGAAGUCGUAACAAGGUAGCCGUAGGGGAACC